GGGGGCGACAUGGUUUCGACAGGGGCAAUGAGGUAAUUGGACGCGUGCCGAGGUGUAGUUUCCUCGCUAAACCACUUACAAAAAUAUAAACGCCAACGAUGAGCGUUUCGCUCUCGCCGCCUAAGUCCGGUGAGACGCUGCAACCGGUUUGCUCUUAGACCGGGUCGGGAAACCGACAGCAGCGACAUAGCAUAAGAGCUAGUCUUCGAUGGUGUUGUGACGUCGGAGGCGAAACAAAGCAACUGGCCGGCAACUGGCAUCGCUAGUUUGCAGGGUUGUCGGUAAGAUCUAAAUGAAUUAGAUACGCACGUAGAGGCUGUUGCUGAUAGCUUUUGGACGCGAGUUCGAUUCUCGCCGCCUCCACCA
rnacentral:tmRNA from 1 species